GCUACAAUGUAAUUUUGAAGGACAGAAAAUUGCCAUUGUCUCUUUUAAAUGAUCAUCAAAAGCAAGCAAAAGCACACCUGCUUGACACCGAGCCUUUUGCUGAUGCCUUUGGUCCUAAAAGGAGGAGGAAACGCCCAAAGCUUAUGGCAUCAGAUUAUGAGUCGCUUGUAAAGAAGGCUGAUGUUUCUCAAGAUGCCUUCGAGGAGAAGUUUGGUGCAAGCAACCCGGGGGAAGGAAA